CCUACGGGAGGCAGCAGUGGGGAAUCUUGGACAAUGGGGGCAACCCUGAUCCAGCCAUGCCGCGUGUGUGAAGAAGGCCUUUGGGUUGUAAAGCACUUUCAGUAGGGAGGAAGGCUUAGGGCUAAUAACCCUGAGUACUUGACGUUACCUACAGAAGAAGCACCGGCUAAUUUCGUGCCAGCAGCCGCGGUAAU
rnacentral:rRNA from 1 species